GCCUCUGUAGCUCAGUUGGUUAGAGCGCUGCACCGGAAUCGCAGGGGCGUGGGUUCAAUUCCUACCAGAGGAC
rnacentral:tRNA from 1 species